rnacentral:rRNA from 1 species
CUAUAUAAGUAGGUAAUUCAAAUUACACCAUAGCAGGUACAGAACUGUGAUCUCUGGCAACUUAUAAUUUAUUCUUACAAAUAAAAAGUAAGAAUAGAUUUUUUUGCAUAUAUCGGGCAACCGUGAAGGUUUUAUCGGUGAGUAUUCGCACUCGGAAGGGCAAUGGUGAAUGUUGAAUAGUCGGACAUAGUACGAUAAGGUUGUAUGUCUAAAGGGAAACAGCCCAGAACAAGAGUUAAGGUUCCAAAAUUAUUGUUAAGUGAAAUUAAGGAAGUUUCUAUCUAAUACAACUAGGAAAUAGGCUUAGAAGCGGUCAUUUUUUGAAGAUCUCGUAACAGAGCACUGGUUUAGUAAAAAUUUAUUUACAUCGAUAGUUGAGCCGAAAAUUCAACGGAUCUAAACAAUAUACCGACACCUUGUCCAUAUUUAUGAAUAAUUUACAUUAUUAUAAUUGAUGGGGUAGCAGAACGUUCGGUAAAUCUUAGACUUAUUCUUUAUAAGAAUAAUAAUAGAUAACCGAAGUGAGAAUGCUGACAUGAGUAACGAAAAAGGGUAUAAUACCCUCGCCUAAAGCUUAUGGAUUUUUAUAAAGUAACGGCCUCUAAGUUUACUAACCUAAAGGAUUAAACGAUGAGUAAAUCUUUGUUGCAUAGUAACAACCUUCUGGUUUUUUAACAGAGUGAAGAAGGUUCUGGAAAAACAGUAACAAUCAUCUAUAUAAGGAAAAACCGUACCUAGAAACUACCACAAGUAAGCUAGUAGAGAAUACGAAGGCGUUUGAGUGAACAGUUCAUUAAGGAACU